CGGACGGGGUGAGUAAUGUCUGGGAAACUGCCUGAUGGAGGGGGAUAACUACUGGAAACGGUAGCUAAUACCGCAUAACGUCGCAAGACCAAAGAGGGGGACCUUAGGGCCUCUUGCCAUCGGAUGUGCCCAGAUGGGAUUAGCUAGUAGGUGGGGUAAUGGCUCACCUAGGCGACGAUCCCUAGCUGGUCUGAGAGGAUGACCAGCCACACUGGAACUGAGACGCGGUCCAG
rnacentral:rRNA from 1 species